UAACACAUGCAAGUCGAACGAGAAAGCCCCUUCGGGGGUUAGUAAAGUGGCAAACGGGUGAGUAACACGUGAGUAAUCUGCCCCGAAGUAGGGGAUAACUUUCCGAAAGGAUUGCUAAUACCCUAUAAGAUCAACCUUCGCAUGUUGGUUGAUGAAAGGUUUCGAUCGCUUUGGGAUGAGCUCGCGCCCCAUUAGCUUGUUGGUAGGGUAAUGGCCUACCAAGGCUACGAUGGGUAGCCGGCUUGAGAGGGUGUCCGGCCACACUGGGACUGAGAUACGGCCCAGACUCCUACGGGAGGCAGCAGUGAGGAAUCUUGCGCAAUGGGGGAAACCCUGACGCAGCAACGCCGCGUGGACGAUGAAAGCCCUUGGGUUGUAAAGUCCUGUCACAGAGGAAGAAAGUGCUUGCAAAAGCACUUGACGUUACUCUGAGAGGAAGCCUCGGCUAACUCCGUGCCAGCAGCCGCGGUAAUACGGAGGAGGCAAGCGUUGUUCGGAACUACUGGGCGUAAAGAGCGCGUAGGCGGCUUUGAAAGUCAGACGUGAAAUACCUUGGCUCAACCAAGGAAUUGCGUUUGAAACUUCUUAGCUUGAGUGCAGGAGAGGAAAGCGGAAUUCCCAGUGUAGCGGUGAAAUGCGUAGAUAUUGGGAGGAACACCGGUGGCGAAGGCGGCUUUCUGGACUGUUACUGACGCUAAGGCGCGAAAGCUAGGGGAGCAAACGGGAUUAGAUACCCCGGUAGUCCUAGCUGUAAACGAUGGGCACUAGGUGUAGGAGGUAUCGACCCCUUCUGUGCCGAAGCUAACGCAUUAAGUGCCCCGCCUGGGGAGUACGGUCGCAAGAUUGAAACUCAAAGGAAUUGACGGGGGCCCGCACAAGCGGUGGAGCAUGUGGUUUAAUUCGACGCAACGCGAAGAACCUUACCGGGGUUUGACAUUAACUCGACGGUACAGGAAACUGUGCUUUCCCUUCGGGGACGGGUUAACAGGUGCUGCAUGGCUGUCGUCAGCUCGUGUCGUGAGAUGUUGGGUUAAGUCCCGCAACGAGCGCAACCCUUGUUCUUAGUUACCAACAGCUCGGCUGGGUACUCUAAGAAGACUGUCGGUGAUAAGCCGAAGGAAGGUGGGGAUGACGUCAAGUCCUCAUGGCCUUUAUAUCCCGGGCUACACACGUGCUACAAUGGCCGGUACAAAGGGUUGCGAAUCUGUGAAGUGGAGCCAAUCCCAAAAAGCCGGUCUCAGUUCGGAUUGGAGUCUGCAACUCGACUCCAUGAAGUUGGAAUCGCUAGUAAUCGUAGAUCAGCACGCUACGGUGAAUACGUUCCCGGGCCUUGUACACACCGCCCGUCACACCACGAAAGUUGGUUGUACCAGAAGUCGCCAAGCUAACCCUCACGGGAAGCAAGCGCCCAAGGUAUGAUCAGUGAUUGGGGUGAAGUCGGAACAAGGUA
rnacentral:rRNA from 1 species